UUCUCUCCUUCCUGCUCUACUGGCCAGACCCCAGGCAGGAACAGCUGCCCAAGCAGGGAUGUGGUUUGCAGAGCCCCAGUACUGCCCUUGCGAAGCUCGGUGGACUUGGCGCUGAGGCGCGUUAGCUUCGUAGCUGCUGCGUGCAGUAAUAACUGGAAGUUUGGCGAUACCGGGGAUCGAACUCGGGACCUUGCGUUUGCGCAGCAGGCGCCAGAACCACUGAGCUAAAUCCCCGGCAAGAGCUUUCUUCUUAUUGAGAAGACAUUCUUUGGUGACCCGAGACUGUGGAAAAGUGGUUGUUUUUAGUGUUGUGUGUGGCUGAGACGUGGAUCCGGUUGGGAGGGCCACAAUUUUGGAUUCAGGAUUUUCACCUGGACCUGGUCCUUGAUGAGAUUCAGGGAUUUGGGAGAUAUUUAAAUAAAAUGUCUUAGUUUGGAAAAUUUUAGGAAUAGGUCAUAUUAAUGAGUAUUAAAAGAAUACAUCCUCA